rnacentral:rRNA from 1 species
UACGUAGGGUGCAAGCGUUGUCCGGAAUUAUUGGGCGUAAAGAGCGCGCAGGCGGUCGUUCAAGUCGCGUGUGAAAGCCCCCGGCUCAACUGGGGAGGGUCACGCGAUACUGAUCGACUCGAAGGCAGGAGAGGGAAGUGGAAUUCCCGGUGUAGUGGUGAAAUGCGUAGAUAUCGGGAGGAACACCAGUGGCGAAGGCGACUUCCUGGCCUGUUCUUGACGCUGAGGCGCGAAAGCUAGGGGAGCAAACGGG